GAGUUUGAUCAUGGCUCAGAGCGAACGCUGGCGGCAGGCUUAACACAUGCAAGUCGAGCGGGCGUAGCAAUACGUCAGCGGCAGACGGGUGAGUAACGCGUGGGAACGUACCUUUUGGUUCGGAACAACACAGGGAAACUUGUGCUAAUACCGGAUAAGCCCUUACGGGGAAAGAUUUAUCGCCGAAAGAUCGGCCCGCGUCUGAUUAGCUAGUUGGUGAGGUAAUGGCUCACCAAGGCGACGAUCAGUAGCUGGUCUGAGAGGAUGAUCAGCCACAUUGGGACUGAGACACGGCCCAAACUCCUACGGGAGGCAGCAGUGGGGAAUAUUGGACAAUGGGCGAAAGCCUGAUCCAGCAAUGCCGCGUGAGUGAUGAAGGCCCUAGGGUUGUAAAGCUCUUUUGUGCGGGAAGAUAAUGACGGUACCGCAAGAAUAAGCCCCGGCUAACUUCGUGCCAGCAGCCGCGGUAAUACG
rnacentral:rRNA from 1 species